ensembl:lncRNA
UGACAACAUAAAAACAAGAGGUUAAAAAAAGGGAGGUGAGUAAUGUAAAAAGUUUACUGCCAUUUGGAUUCCCGUUUAGGAACUGGGAUCUUAGUCUAGGGAGAAGCCCAAACAUGAUGAACUGUUACUGAGCUUUCCAGAGUUGCUAACUUUGUUCACUCCCAAGCCAUUUGUCUCUCUGUUAGCUUAAUAAUUUUCCAGAGCUGUUGUGUAGCCUAACUACCGGGGCACUACUGAGCCAAGUUCUCCCAGCCCGCCCGGCUGAAACGGGAAGAGACAGCACCAGGGUCUUGCCGCCAAGCCUGCGAGAGCUUCCACAUUGGGUCGGGGCGAAGACAACAGCACGGACACAUGGCCACCUCCACUCACUGGCUUCCCCGUGUCUUUCCCUUUCUUUCUCUUCGACUUCUGAAGAAAUCGCUCCCUUUCCAAUUUCCCUGGCUCUUUAAGGAAAAAAAAAAAAAAAAAAACCAAAGCCUAAAAACUAAAAAUAUUCAUUUUAGGCACAAGUCAUACAAAUAGUUGUGCAACGGCUUUUGAUUCUUUCUGUAAAGAGUACGGCUUCUAUUUCCAGCAUCUUCUGUCUCCCUGAGAGCAUUUUACGAUGAUUUCUUGUUCUCUGUUCUCCCAACUGGAUGACUUGCACAACAUUCCUGAGAGGCAGCUGUUUCCAGAAUAUCGCACAGUUUAUUGAGUUCACGAGAACUGUGACCGACGGCAGCACCGACCUUUACAGAGACUCAAAGGGCUCCCAUUCCCGUUUGCUGACGUGCGCAGCAGCCGCUUCCUCCGGGCGUGUCCCUUCAUCCGGGAACAGGAGCCAUCAACGUGUCACAGACUUAGAGCCGGAAGGGUUCUUCGCCACCGUGAUGGAAAGAAAAACGUCCUUCAAGGAGGGAGCUAGAAGAGCCUAGGAACAGAGAUAACGAAGGGCCACACGUCCAGUCACCCAUCCGCCCUGACCGCCGUGGAGAAAGGUGAGCUGCAAACUGUGUAGUUUGCAAAAGGAUUGUGCUGCUCACCAUUUCUCAAAAGGCCCAGUUCUAACCUCCCUACCUGCUCUUUUUUUUCUUUUUUUUUUUUUUGAUGUAGUGUUCCAUGAUUCAUUGUUUGUGUAUAACACCCAAUGCUCCAUUCAAUACGUGCCCUCUUUAAUACCCAUCACCAGGCUAACCCAUCCUCCCACCCCCUCCCCUCUAGAACCCUCUGUUUGUUUCCCAGAGUCCAAAGUCUCUCAUGGUUCGUCUCCCCCUCUGAUUUUCACCCCUUCAUUUUUCCCUUCCUGCUAUCUUCUCUCUCUCUUUUUUUUUUUAAACAUAUAAUGUAGUAUUUGUUUCAGAGGUACAGGUCUGUGAUUCAUCAGUCUUAUACAAUUCACAGCGUUCCCCAGCAAGUGCUGUGCAAUUCCGCCUCCGGCAAAGACAUUUGGGAACCACGGCAACAGGCCCCUUCCCCAGAAGAUCGGCAAGAACAGCCCGCCAAGACCAACUUUACCGAUCAAUGAGAAUGGCAGAACUCCAGCGCUACGGGAAUACUGCAUAGAGAAUUCAUGGUUUUUUUUCCCAUGAUUCUUUAGUCUUUCAAAGUUAAUUUUUUUAAUUUUCUUUUUUUUCUUUUUCUAUUUUUUUCUUUUUCUUUUUCCCUUUUACAACCAACAUCUUAUCAGUCCCUUUUCUUUUAAGUCUUUUUUAUUUUUCAUUUUUAGAGUCAUAUUCCGUCCCUUCAUAGUAGUUAACCUUAUUUUUGGUAUAUAUAUAUAUAUAUAUAUAUAUAUAUAAGUUGUUCUCUCUUUAAAAUUUUGGGAUACAGUUUCUUCUAACAGACCAAAAUAUAUCCUAAAUCUCUAGUGUAUGGCUUUGUUCUAGUCUCCUGCCUGAUCACAUUCUCUCCCUCUUUUUUUUUAAUUUCUCUUCUUUUUUCAACCAACUUCUUAACUUAUUAAUUCCUUUUAUAAAAUCUUUUGUAAUUUUCAUCUUUACAGUCAUAUUCCAUCCCUUUAUCGUAUUUACCCUUAUUUUUGUACAUAUAUAAGUUUUUCUUUCUUUAAAAUUUUGGGAGGCAGUUUCUUCUAACAGACCAAAAUAUGCCCAAAAUCUAGUGUGUGACACUGAUCUAUUCACCAGCCUGAUCAUAUUUGAUCAUAUUCUUUUAUUCUUUCUUUUUUUUUCUUUUUUCUUUCUUUCCCUUUCUUCCCCCCCCCCCCCCCCCGGUUUCGGGUCUCUUUUGAUUUGUUUAGUAUAUAUUUUUCUAGGGUCAUUGUUCCCUGUUAGCAUUUUGUCCUACCUGCUCUUGUUACAUUUUUUCUUUCUGCUACUUUGGCAAAAUAGCUCCAGGGAGCCCCUGAAUAAAAACCUUGAUGCUAAUCUCUCAGGAAUUAAGGUGGUUUCUCUAGAAUUGUUUGGAUGAGUUUAACGAGUCUUGCGGAAAUUGCUACUUCAUCAUCACACCCAGGAUUUGCCCUUACCCUUACCCUCGAAAUGAGGAGGAAGAAGCAUCCAGAGAGAUCCAGUCCACCCCCAGAAGAGGCCAGGAGGGAGGGGAGCACAGAGAGAGCCCUGCUCAAUCAAGUGCACCAUCAUUUGGUAUUUAAAGAAAACAAACAAAACACCAAAGACUAGGGAACAAAUGACAGGGCAAAAUGACAUCAAACUGAAGCAGAGAGACCCCCCUCCAGGAAGUGUUUAAGUGAGUCUGGGAAAUCAAGGUAUUCUAAUUAAACACGUAGUUUGAAAGAAGUGUAAAGUACUUGGCAGAGAAUUACUGAGGUAGGAAAUUAAUAAAGUUCACUCCUAGUGUUAAAUGAGCCUUCUGAAUUCUAAAAUCCAAAACAGUGUCUUCAGUGGUGUUCUAAAUUUCGCGGAAUCAUAUUCAAGAGUAAAGAGAGACAAAGGCUUCUCCGUGUGGAGGACAGUGGCGUCAGACACUGCUUUUAUUUAAAAUUUUGAUAUUUUGUUCAUCUUGGGCUGUUUUAGUAAUUUUUUAUUUUUAAAAAUAUAUCAUUAUAAUAUUUAUUCUUGACUGCUGAGCUAUUUCGUGCCCCAUAAAUUUAGCACUCCAUAGGAGUGUCUCACACUUCCCUCUAAGUCUGGUCAGGAGGCUACUAGGUACUUGUACAGAGAAAGUCAGCAUGUCUAGGGGUUGAGUUAUGUCCUCCAUAGAGAUGUUGAAGUCCUAACCCCAAGUACCCCAGAAUGUGACCUUAUUUGGAAAUAGGGUUGUUACAGAUGUAAUUAGUUAAGGUGAGAUCAUACUGGCAUAGAGUGGCCCCCUAAUCCAGUAUGACUGGUGUCCUUAUAAAAAGUGGGAGAUUUAGGAGUGCCUGGGUGGCACAGCCGGUAAGUGUCUGUCUCUUGGUUUUGACCCAGAUCGUGAUCUGAGUUGUGGUAUCAAGCCCCAGGUCGGGCUCUGCACUCAGAUUCUCUCUCCUGCUCCCUCUGCCCCUCUUGCUCUCUCACUCUCUAAAAUAAAUAAAUAAAUAAUUUUUUUAAACAAUGGGGGGGCAUUUGGACACAGGCACAUACACGCAGAGAAUGCCAUGUGAACAUGAAGGCAGAGGUCAGGUGGUUCAUCUAUACCGAAGAUUGCCAGCAAAGCACCCGAAGGUAGGAGAGAAGCAUGGAACGGAUUCUCCCCUAUAGUCCUGGGAAGUAACCAACCCUGCUACAACCUUGAUCUUAGACUUCUGAUCUCAGAACUGUGAGAUAGGGCGCCUGGGUGGCUCAGUUGGUUAAGCGACUGCCUUCGGCUGGGGUCAUGAUCCUGGAGUCCUGGGAUCGAGUCCCACAUCGGGCUCCUUGCUCAGCGGGGAGUCUGCUUCUCCCUCUGACCCUCCCCCCCC